AUUGAACGCUGGCGGCAUGCCUUACACAUGCAAGUCGAACGGCAGCGGACCUUCGGGUGCCGGCGAGUGGCGAACGGGUGAGUAAUAUAUCGGAACGUACCUUUCAGUGGGGGAUAACGUAGCGAAAGUUACGCUAAUACCGCAUAUUCUGUGAGCAGGAAAGCAGGGGAUCGCAAGACCUUGCGCUGAUUGAGCGGCCGAUAUCAGAUUAGCUAGUUGGUGAGGUAAAGGCUCACCAAGGCGACGAUCUGUAGCGGGUCUGAGAGGAUGAUCCGCCACACUGGAACUGAGACACGGUCCAGACUCCUAC
rnacentral:rRNA from 1 species